AGCAGCCGCGGUAAUUCCAGCUCCAAUAGCGUAUAUUAAAGUUGUUGCAGUUAAAAAGCUCGUAGUUGAAUUUCGGGAUCAAGUCGUCGGUCGUGCUCAGGUACGUACUGGCGUCAUUGAUUUCUCCCUUCUGACGAACCAUGAUGUCAUUAAUUUGGUGUUAUGGGAAAUCAGGACUGUUACUUUGAAAAAAUUAGAGUGUUUAAAGCAGGCUCACGCUUGAAUACAUUAGCAUGGAAUAAUGAAAUAGGACGUUCGAUCCUAUUUUGUUGGUUUAGGAUCAACGUAAUGAUUAAUAGGGAUAGUUGGGGGCAUUAGUAUUCAAUUGUCAGAGGUGAAAUUCUUGGAUUUAUUGAAGACUAACUACUGCGAAAGCAUUUGCCAAGGAUGUUUUCAUUAAUCAAGAACGAAAGUUAGGGGAUCGAAGACGAUCAGAUACCGUCGUAGUCUUAACCAUAAACUAUGCCGACUAGGGAUCGGAUGAUGUUAAUUUUUUAAUGACUCAUUCGGCGCCUUACGG
rnacentral:rRNA from 1 species